UACGGGGGGAGCAAGCGUUGUUCGGAUUUACUGGGCGUAAAGGGCGCGUAGGCGGUCAGCACAAGUCAGUUGUGAAAUCUCCGGGCUUAACUCGGAAAGGUCAACUGAUACUGUGCGACUAGAGUGCGGAAGGGGCAACUGGAAUUCUCGGUGUAGCGGUGAAAUGCGUAGAUAUCGAGAGGAACACCUGCGGCGAAGGCGGGUUGCUGGGCCGACAUUGACGCUGAUGAGCGAAAGCCAGGGGAGCAAACGGG
rnacentral:rRNA from 1 species